AGAGCGAACGCUGGCGGCAGGCCUAACACAUGCAAGUCGAGCGCCCGUAGCAAUACGGGAGCGGCAGACGGGAGAGUAACACGUGGGAACGCGCCCUUCGGUUCGGAAUAACUCAGGGAAACUUGAGCUAAUACCGGAUACGCCCUUACGGGGAAAGAUUUAUUGCCGAAGGAACGGCCCGCGUCCGAUUAGCUUGUUGGUGAGGUAACGGCUCACCAAGGCGACGAUCGGUAGCUGGUCUGAGAGGAUGACCAGCCUCACUGGGACUGAGACACGGCCCAGACUCCUACGGGAGGCAGCAGUGGGGAAUAUUGGACAAUGGGCGCAAGCCUGAUCCAGCCAUGCCGCGUGGAUGAUGAAGGCCCUAGGGUUGUAAAGUCCUUUUAACGGGAAGAUAAUGACGGUACCCGUAGAAUAAGCCCCGGCUAACUUCGCGCCAGCAGCCGC
rnacentral:rRNA from 1 species